rnacentral:tRNA from 1 species
GAGCGCGGCGCAGGGCGUGGGAACGUAGCGCGGACCCGCUCAUAACGGUCUGGUUGCAGGUUCGAGUCCUGCCGGGCCCACCA